UACGAAGGGGACUAGCGUUGUUCGGAAUUACUGGGCGUAAAGCGCGCGUAGGCGGCUUUGUAAGUUAGAGGUGAAAGCCCGGGGCUCAACCCCGGAAUUGCCUUUAAGACUGCAUCGCUUGAAUCCGGGAGAGGUGAGUGGAAUUCCGAGUGUAGAGGUGAAAUUCGUAGAUAUUCGGAAGAACACCAGUGGCGAAGGCGGCUCACUGGACCGGCAUUGACGCUGAGGUGCGAAAGCGUGGGGAGCAAACAGG
rnacentral:rRNA from 1 species